CCUACGGGAGGCAGCAGUGAGGAAUAUUGGUCAAUGGACGGAAGUCUGAACCAGCAAUGCCGCGUGCAGGAAGACGGCUCCAUGAUUUGUAAACUGCUCUUGUACAAGGGUAAACCUGUAUACGUGUAUUCAGCUGAACGUACUGUACGAAUAAGGAACGGCUAACUCCGUGCCAGCAGCCGCGGUAAUACGGAGGGUCCAAGCGUUAUCCGGAUUUAUUGGGUUUAAAGGGUGCGUAGGCGGAUAGAUAAGUUAGAGGUGAAAUGUCCGAGCUUAAGUCGGGAACUGCCUCUAAUACUAUUGAGCUAGAAAGUAGAUGCGGUAGGGGGAAAGUAUGGUGUAGCGGUGAAAUGCUUAGAGAUCAGACAGAACACCGAUUGCGAAAGCAGCUUACCGAUCUAUAUCUGACGUUGAGGCACGAAAGCGAGGGGAGCAAACGGGAUUAGAUACCCGAGUAGUC
rnacentral:rRNA from 1 species